rnacentral:lncRNA from 10 species
GGGAGGAAAGCCCUCGGUCCCCUCGGCUCCGGGGGCGCCCGGCUGGGCCCAGCUCCGCGGGCGCGCCCCCGUCACCCCCUCCCAGGCCAGUUCAGGGCAGCGCCAAGGGGCCGCGGGCUCAGGCUGAGGCCUCCUCCUGCCUAGGCGUCUGGCGUCCGUUUGUCUGUCCGAGGCCUCAGCGCAGGUAAAGCGCGGGGCUGGGGGGCGCAGAGCUCCAUUGGGCUGGGAACCAGCGCGUCUCGUGCCCUUGGGGGACCCGCCUGCCCGAGCCGCCUGCUAAGCCUCCCGCUCCCCUCCACGCUGGAGCGCGCGGAGCCCGGUCUGCUCGGAACUCCACUCUGCGGGAGCGGAGGCCGGCGCCAGCCCGGGAAGCCGCGCAGGGGGCGGGAGGCCGAGCGCGAGGCCCUUGGCGCCGGGCCUCCGCGGCCAGGCCGGGCAGGUGAGCAGUCUCCGUGCCUCCCGGUUGGCGUUCCCCUCAACGCGUGCGGUCCCGCCGGGGCCCACUGUCUCUCCGUCCGUCUGUCUCUCAACUUUUCCCAUCCUUUAGCUUACGAUUCUUCAUCAACUCGUAAAAUGAGAUCGCCGCGGAGCUCGAGCCUAUUUGGCGUCUCCGGAGACUAGCAAGACCCUCUGAAAGACACCGCGUCCCCAGGGAUAAUCCCCCGUGUCCGGCAAAGCUGCCCCGCUCGAGCGCGAACCCUGGGACCCAGCGCGGGAGGCAGACCAGCAGCUGGCCGCUGGGCUGUGAACGCCAGGACCGAGCGGAAGCUUCCCGCCCGGCCGCGAUCGGUGCCGCGGCUCUCAGGGAAGUGGCUACGCGCGUCCCUCGGGAAAGCAGAGUAAUUUGCCUGUUUCUGGCAAAUCUGAAGAUUGGAAUGCCACACGGCCCAGCCAUUCCUUUUCCAGGCAUAUGAGAAGCCCUCACACAUGAGCAAGAAAGAGAUGUGGCCAAAGACAUUCAUGGAGCCCUGUUUGUUAAAACAGAGAAAAAGAAAUUAAGAAAUACCCAGCCUGGGCAACAUAGGGAGACCCUGUCUCUACUAAAAAUAAAAAUUUAUACUUGGGAGGCUAAGGCAGGAGGAUCACUUGAGCUCAGAAGAUCGAAGCUUGCAAUCAGCUGUGAUCGUGUCACUGCAUGCCAGCCUGGGUGACAGAGAGUGAGACCCUGUAUCAAUAAAGAAAGAAAGAAAGAAAAGAAACAGAAAUAAACUUAGGACACAGCAGACGGCCCAUCCUGAGGGUACCACAUAGCAGAUGCUGGGACCUUUUUUCAGGUGGACGCCACAUGACCUUUCCUUUGCAGGCAUCCAUGCUGAUGUUCACAAGGCACACAGCAUUUCAGCUGAAGAAAGAACUGGCAGGAUUUUCAUCACGAAAGGGCACUGUCUAUCGUUUAUGAAAAUGAAGCAUAUGAAGUAAAAGUUUGGAAACAGAUGGAAUUAAAUCUUCUGACAGAUUUUAAAAUAAGAUCUAAAAAAGAGCAAGACAUGCUCUUGGAUGGGGAAACUUAAUAUCAGAAAAAUGUCAAUUUUCCCAUUUUUUCCAUAUAAAUUUAAUGUAAUUCAAAUUCCAUUACCA